rnacentral:rRNA from 1 species
CUCGUAGGCGGUUCGUCGCGUCUGCCGUGAAAGCCCGAGGCUCAACCUCGGGUCUGCGGUGGGUACGGGCGGACUAGAGUGUGGUAGGGGAGACUGGAAUUCCUGGUGUAGCGGUGGAAUGCGCAGAUAUCAGGAGGAACACCAAUGGCGAAGGCAGGUCUCUGGGCCACAACUGACGCUGAGGAGCGAAAGCGUGGGUAGCAAACA